rnacentral:misc_RNA from 1 species
GAUGAAGAACGCAGCGAAAUGCGAUACGUAAUGUGAAUUGCAGAAUUCCGUGAAUCAUCGAAUCUUUGAACGCACAUUGCGCCCGCCAGCAUUCUGGCGGGCAUGCCUGUUCGAGCGUCAUUUCAACCCUCGACGUCCCCUGGGACGUCGGCCUUGGGGACCGGCAGCACCCCGCCGGCCCUGAAAUGGAGUGGCGGCCCGUCCGCGGCGACCUCUGCGCAGUACAACCACUCGCACCGGGAACCCGCCGCGGCCCGCCGUGAAACCCCCAACCUCUGAACGUUGACCUCGGAUCAGGUAGGACUACCCGCUGAACUUAAGCAUAUCAAUAAGCGGAGGA